GACGAACGCUGGCGGCGUGCUUAACACAUGCAAGUCGAACGGAAAGGCCCUGCUUUUGUGGGGUGCUCGAGUGGCGAACGGGUGAUUAACACGUGAGUAACCUGCCCUUGACUUUGGGAUAACUUCAGGAAACUGGGGCUAAUACCGGAUAGGAGCUCCUGCUGCAUGGUGGGGGUUGGAAAGUUUCGGCGGUUGGGGAUGGACUCGCGGCUUAUCAGCUUGUUGGUGGGGUAGUGGCUUACCAAGGCUUUGACGGGUAGCCGGCCUGAGAGGGUGACCGGCCACAGUGGGACUGAGGUACGGCCCAGACUCCUACGGGAGGCAGCAGUGGGGAAUAUUGCACAAUGGGCGGAAGCCUGAUGCAGCAACGCCGCGUGCGGGAUGACGGCCUUCGGGUUGUAAACCGCUGUCGCCUGUGACGAAGCGUGAGUGACGGUAAUGGGUAAAGAAGCACCGGCUAACUACGUG
rnacentral:rRNA from 1 species